rnacentral:lncRNA from 1 species
UCUACUGUCUCACAAUUCCUAUCCGGCAAUGUAGUAAUCUCUACUUUCUCAAAAUCACAAUUGUGGGUUAGGUACCGAAUCCUUGUUCCAAAUCAAGAUCAAUAUCCUUCCCUCUCGAUCCAGGUCAAGGAGAAAAGUUACAAGUUGGAUGCACUAUUAUCAUUGAUAAUAAUGCCUGGGAUUGGUCUUGGAUAGACAUUCAAUAUUGAAGAGGUGCCUAUUGUCCUUUUGUAAUGAUAUGGAAACAUUGUUUUUCGUCUUCCAUCAUACUUCUCUUUAUUCCUCAAUAUUUUGGUUAAAAUUCUGGAUUCUGUUUAUACAUAAAUAUAUGUGCAUUUACCUUUAUGAUUCUCUAUAUAAUUCAACUUAGAGGAGCUAUGAUAGAUAUUGACAACGAAUGUGUCAAAUUGCUGUGUUAUUGUGGUUGUAAUAAAGCAUAUACCAGGUAAAGGAGUUAUCAUUUUCCUAUAAUAAAAACAAUGGAUGGCAAGAUAAAAUAAUGCUUUUGUUGUGGUGAUUGCCUUUCUGCCAUUUCCAAACAUGGUGCUACCAUUUGUUUUUGGCUAUAGAUUUGCAGGUCAAAAUAUAUACAUAUAACAUGGACUUUGUUUCUAUGCCUGAGUACUAUACUACAAUAAAGCAUGAUAAGACUUCCAAAUAAGUCGGUAGUUUGGUUGGUCCAUACGCUGGUUGUUCCUACAUAUUCCUGCAGUUUAUUUUGAUGCAGCACAUUGUAUUUGUUUG